rnacentral:rRNA from 1 species
CCUACGGGAGGCAGCAGUGGGGAAUAUUGCACAAUGGGGGAAACCCUGAUGCAGCGACGCCGCGUGAGUGACGAAGUAUUUCGGCAUGUAAAGCUCUAUCAGCAGGGAAGAAAAUGACGGUACCUGAUUAAGAAGCACCGGCUAACUACGUGCCAGCAGCCGCGGUAAUACGUAGGGGGCAAGCGUUAUCCGGAUUUACUGGGUGUAAAGGGAGCGUAGACGGCAGCGCAAGUCUGAAGUUAAAUGCCGGGGCUUAACCCCCGAACUGCCUUGGAAACUGUGCAGCUAGGGUGCAGGAGAGGUAAGUGGAAUUCCUAGUGUAGCGGUGAAAUGCGUAGAUAUUAGGAGGAACACCAGUGGCGAAGGCGGCUUACUGGACUGUAACUGACGUUGAGGCACGAAAGCGUGGGGAGCGAACAGGAUUAGAUACCCGGGUAGUC